GCCUGGCCCUAAAUCUUGAUGCUCGAUAUUACCUGAGCAUCCGCCCGAGAACUACGAGCACAAACGCUUAAAACUCUAAGGACUUGGCGGUGUUCCAAACCCACCUAGAGGAGCCUGUUCUGUAAUCGAUGAUCCACGAUAUUACCUGACCAUUCCUUGCACGAAUCAGCCUAUAUACCGCCGUCGCCAGCCCACCUUUCCUGACAGCCCAACAGUGGACGCAAUAGCCUAACCCGCUAGCAAGACAGGUCAAGGUAUAGCCCACGGAAUGGAAGCAAUGGGCUACAUUUUCUARACUAGAACAUACGGAUAAGGGUAUGAAACUGCCCUUGGAAGGCGGAUUUAGCAGUAAAGAGAGACAAUCGAGCCCUCUUUAAGCCGGCUCUGGAGCACGU
rnacentral:rRNA from 1 species